CAUUACCCAGCCAGGAUCCCUGUGACAGAUAAUCAAACCUCUUCCCUACCUUUCCUUUAUUAAUCCUCACUUAAUCCUCUUUCAAAUUUUCACUGCAGCUUUCAUUAAGGGAAGUCUGAUUUGGGAAAGGCAUCAAAAGGCAUCACCUUGACACUUGUCACUCCAGACCCCCGCGAGCACACCUGCACAGAGCAGCAGCACUUCAGCAAACCCCAGGGCUCUGCUGUUCCCUCAUCCCCAUCUGACACAGGGCAGAGACCCCAGAAGCCAAAAAGACAAAUACCUGACACUAUAAAAAAGUCAAGUGGCCACCCAGCUCCCAGGCCUGCUACUUGAACCAAGAGCUGAAGGGAACUGUCUGCUCCUCCUCUGCUGUGCCACCGCACCAUGGAUACCUGACACUGCUGGGAAUCCAGGGGAAAACAAAGUUAGAGCUUUAAAUAGCUCUGGAGCAGAGCUCCUGCAGCCCAGGAUUGAGACACAGGAGCAGCCUGGUGGGACAGAUGCCUGCCCCCACUAUCAGCAGCGUGGUGGGACAGGUGCCUGCACCAGUGACCAGUUAAACAAGCUCCAGCUCCAGCUCCUUCUCUCCACUUUGUUUUAUUCCAUCUCUCAAAGCUUGGGGCUGUUUUUCCCCAGCUGCUGAUCAUUCCUAACAUCGUCUUCCAGCCCACAUUCUCCUCCUUUGCCAUCCCAUUGUGAGGUCACGAUACAUUUGUGACAAAGUUUCCAUGGCAACAGACUGAUGACAUAAACAUAAGCUGAGGAUUUCUCUGCAAAGCGGGAGGAGCAGGAGAUGGGCUGCAAGGGAGCUGCUCCUCAAACAGCUCUCUUCAGUAAUAGCUGUGGGAAUAGAGAACAUUACUGGCAAAACUUCUCCACAGGUCCAGAUUCUCCCAAGAGGGGCAGGUGCCCAACGCCCCUGAAGCCCACCCUCUCUGUUCCUCUCUGGAGCACCGCGGCUGGAAGACGCAGCCUGGCUGUCAGCAAUGGGUUCCCGAGCUCAGGAGGGCAUUGCUGGAGCAAGAAACAUCUCCUGCACGUCCAGACCAGUCUGCUCAGGCCAUGAGUCGCAGCUCACUGCAGUAAAUUAAAGCUUUUAAUGCUUCCUUUUUCAAAAAAAUGGAAAAA